UACGAAGGGGGCUAGCGUUGCUCGGAAUCACUGGGCGUAAAGGGUGCGUAGGCGGGUUUUUAAGUCAGGGGUGAAAUCCUGGAGCUCAACUCCAGAACUGCCUUUGAUACUGGCGAUCUCGAGUUCGGGAGAGGUGAGUGGAACUGCGAGUGUAGAGGUGAAAUUCGUAGAUAUUCGCAAGAACACCAGUGGCGAAGGCGGCUCACUGGCCCGAUACUGACGCUGAGGUGCGAAAGCGUGGGGAGCAAACAGG
rnacentral:rRNA from 1 species